CAGACCUCAUUUAAGGGUUGGCGGUGGAGGUAAGGGUAUCUUGCUGGAAAUCCCUGUCUACCAGAGGUGUUCUGAAGAUGUCUUCAUCAUAUCAUCCAUUUAGUGGACACCUGAUGAGGAUAUAUGGACACUAGACAGUACUCUGACGUUAAUAACAAAGAAGAAAAAUGCAGAAAAAUGAAGAAAAAUUAACAACAAUAUUGAUCAUGACCCAACUGUGAAGUACUGCAAUAGUGCCUAUUAAAAUGAGAAACGUUUUUUUUUUCAAAACCUAUUACAGAAUAAGAGUCAGAGGUAUCUUGAUAACUGAA
ensembl:lncRNA